ensembl:lncRNA
GCAAGGAAUAGUAUAGUAUAGGAACCUAGAAUGUUAGGUCCAUGAAUCAUGUGAAUUACUUUUAUUUAAUUCUAAUGACAACCCUAAGAGUGGGUAUAAUAUGGAAAAUAGAAGUAAAUGUCUAAGCUAGUAAGUGGUGAAGAGGAUGAUUUCAACCCAGGUGAUGCUCCAGGGAAGGAGUUCCAGGUUGGCAGAGAAUCUCCUGCAAGCAGUGAUUCAGAGUCCCAGGCUGAACAACCAUCUUUAUCACACAGCUUCCAAAGGUACCCUGCUCUCACCACUGGAGCCCACAGAAUGGGAGGUGAGCAAGGGGAGGAAACAUACUCACUGACUUAAAACUCUGCCUGGGAAGUAGUGACACCACUUUUGCUUGGAUUGCCACUGGAGAGAAACACAGCAUGUGGCCACACAGUGAAAAGCUCAUUGGAAAAUGCAAUCUCUGGUGGGGCAGCUCCACAAGCUAUUUUGCAAAGGAGAACAGAUUUAGCUCUUUCUGGCCCACCUUUGGCCAGCUUCAUUCUCUACCAUCACCCACUUCACUCCAGCCACAACUUGACAUUUGCCUGUGAAAACAGUAGCUGUCCCUAGUUAUCCCCUACUCAUAAUGCAGGUGUCAGAGC